ACGGCAGACGAGCCGGGCGGACGGCCGCGUGGUCCCUCUUGGGGGCCCCGAGGAACGUCCGGGCUCCACAGGGCAGGGUGAUGGCUAACGGCCACCCGGGGUGACCCGCGGGACAGUGCCACAGAAAACAGACCGCCCGGCGCUUCGGCGCCGGGUAAGGGUGAAACGGUGGUGUAAGAGACCACCAGUGCCCAGGGUGACCUGGGCAGCUAGGUAAACCCCACCCGGAGCAAGGUCAAAAGGAGCCGCCGCUUCGAAAGAGGCGCGGCUCUGCGCGGACGUUCGAGGGCUGCCCGCCCGAGUCCGCGGGUAGACCGCACGAGGCCGACGGCAACGUCGGCCCUAGAUGGAUGGCCGUCGCCCCGGGGCCCGCGAGGACUCCGAGGAAACAGAACCCGGCGUACGGCCCGGCUCGUCUGC
rnacentral:RNase_P_RNA from 1 species